GGGUUGUGAGGUUAAGCGACUAAGCGUACACGGUGGAUGCCCUGGCAGUCAGAGGCGAUGAAGGACGUGCUAAUCUGCGAAAAGCGUCGGUAAGGUGAUAUGAACCGUUANANCCGGCGAUGUCCGAAUGGGGAAACCCAGUGCAAUUCGUUGCACUAUCGUUAACUGAAUACAUAGGUUAACGAGGCGAACCGGGGGAACUGAAACAUCUAAGUACCCCGAGGAAAAGAAAUCAACCGAGAUUCCCCCAGUAGCGGCGAGCGAACGGGGAGCAGCCCAGAGUCUGAAUCAGCUUGUGUGUUAGUGGAACGGUCUGGAAAGUCCGACGGUACAGGGUGAUAGUCCCGUACACCAAAAUGCACAGGUUGUGAACUCGAAGAGUAGGGCGGGACACGUGGUAUCCUGUCUGAAUAUGGGGGGACCAUCCUCCAAGGCUAAAUACUCCUGACUGACCGAUAGUGAACCAGUACCGUGAGGGAAAGGCGAAAAGAACCCCGGCGAGGGGAGUGAAAAAGAACCUGAAACCGUGUACGUACAAGCAGUGGGAGCACCUUCGGGUGUGACUGCGUACCUUUUGUAUAAUGGGUCAGCGACUUAUAUUCUGUAGCAAGGUUAACCGUAUAGGGGAGCCGCAGGGAAACCGAGUCUUAACUGGGCGUUAAGUUGCAGGGUAUAGACCCGAAACCCGGUGAUCUAGCCAUGGGCAGGUUGAAGGUUGGGUAACACUAACUGGAGGACCGAACCGACUAAUGUUGAAAAAUUAGCGGAUGACUUGUGGCUGGGGGUGAAAGGCCAAUCAAACCGGGAGAUAGCUGGUUCUCCCCGAAAGCUAUUUAGGUAGCGCCUCGUGAACUCAUCUUCGGGGGUAGAGCACUGUUUCGGCUAGGGGGUCAUCCCGACUUACCAACCCGAUGCAAACUACGAAUACCGAAGAAUGUUAUCACGGGAGACACACGGCGGGUGCUAACGUCCGUCGUGAAGAGGGAAACAACCCAGACCGCCAGCUAAGGUCCCAAAGUCAUGGUUAAGUGGGAAACGAUGUGGGAAGGCACAGACAGCCAGGAUGUUGGCUUAGAAGCAGCCAUCAUUUAAAGAAAGCGUAAUAGCUCACUGGUCGAGUCGGCCUGCGCGGAAGAUGUAACGGGGCUAAACCAUGCACCGAAGCUGCGGCAGCGACACUAUGUGUUGUUGGGUAGGGGAGCGUUCUGUAAGCCUGCGAAGGUGUGCUGUGAGGCAUGCUGGAGGUAUCAGAAGUGCGAAUGCUGACAUAAGUAACGAUAAAGCGGGUGAAAAGCCCGCUCGCCGGAAGACCAAGGGUUCCUGUCCAACGUUAAUCGGGGCAGGGUGAGUCGACCCCUAAGGCGAGGCCGAAAGGCGUAGUCGAUGGGAAACAGGUUAAUAUUCCUGUACUUGGUGUUACUGCGAAGGGGGGACGGAGAAGGCUAUGUUAGCCGGGCGACGGUUGUCCCGGUUUAAGCAUGUAGGCUGGUUGUCCAGGCAAAUCCGGAUAAUCAAGGCUGAGGUGUGAUGACGAGGCACUACGGUGCUGAAGUAACAAAUGCCCUGCUUCCAGGAAAAGCCUCUAAGCAUCAGGUAACAUCAAAUCGUACCCCAAACCGACACAGGUGGUCAGGUAGAGAAUACCAAGGCGCUUGAGAGAACUCGGGUGAAGGAACUAGGCAAAAUGGUGCCGUAACUUCGGGAGAAGGCACGCUGGUGUGUAGGUGAAGUCCCUGCGGAUGGAGCUGAGACCAGUCGAAGAUACCAGCUGGCUGCAACUGUUUAUUAAAAACACAGCACUGUGCAAACACGAAAGUGGACGUAUACGGUGUGACGCCUGCCCGGUGCCGGAAGGUUAAUUGAUGGGGUUAUCCGUAAGGAGAAGCUCUUGAUCGAAGCCCCGGUAAACGGCGGCCGUAACUAUAACGGUCCUAAGGUAGCGAAAUUCCUUGUCGGGUAAGUUCCGACCUGCACGAAUGGCGUAAUGAUGGCCAGGCUGUCUCCACCCGAGACUCAGUGAAAUUGAACUCGCUGUGAAGAUGCAGUGUACCCGCGGCAAGACGGAAAGACCCCGUGAACCUUUACUAUAGCUUGACACUGAACAUUGAGCCUUGAUGUGUAGGAUAGGUGGGAGGCUUUGAAGCGUGGACGCCAGUCUGCGUGGAGCCAACCUUGAAAUACCACCCUUUAAUGUUUGAUGUUCUAACGUUGGCCCCUGACCGGGGUUGCGGACAGUGUCUGGUGGGUAGUUUGACUGGGGCGGUCUCCUCCCAAAGCGUAACGGAGGAGCACGAAGGUUAGCUAAUCCUGGUCGGACAUCAGGAGGUUAGUGCAAUGGCAUAAGCUAGCUUGACUGCGAGCGUGACGGCGCGAGCAGGUGCGAAAGCAGGUCAUAGUGAUCCGGUGGUUCUGAAUGGAAGGGCCAUCGCUCAACGGAUAAAAGGUACUCCGGGGAUAACAGGCUGAUACCGCCCAAGAGUUCAUAUCGACGGCGGUGUUUGGCACCUCGAUGUCGGCUCAUCACAUCCUGGGGCUGAAGUAGGUCCCAAGGGUAUGGCUGUUCGCCAUUUAAAGUGGUACGCGAGCUGGGUUUAGAACGUCGUGAGACAGUUCGGUCCCUAUCUGCCGUGGGCGCUGGAGAAUUGAGGGGGGCUGCUCCUAGUACGAGAGGACCGGAGUGGACGCAUCACUGGUGUUCGGGUUGUCAUGCCAAUGGCACUGCCCGGUAGCUAAAUGCGGAAGAGAUAAGUGCUGAAAGCAUCUAAGCACGAAACUUGCCCCGAGAUGAGUUCUCCCUGAGACUUUAAGUCUCCUGAAGGAACGUUGAAGACGACGACGUUGAUAGGCCGGGUGUGUAAGCGCAGCGAUGCGUUGAGCUAACCGGUACUAAUGAACCGUGAGGCUUAACCUUACAACGCCGAAG
rnacentral:rRNA from 1 species